GCUAAAGAAGCCAGAGUGGAGGCUGCAGGGAAUAUGGAUUUAAAUGAAUUUUGGCUGUACCAUCAAGCAGUCUGAUCACUGAGGAAAUAUCAAAAGCUUCACCCGAGUGACUCAUCACCCAAAUUCAACAGAGAUUGAUGUGUCCAUCUGUCAACCUGAAGAAGUAAAAGGACUGUGCAUCUAUAAUAUGUGUGUGACUAUUCGACAACUCUAAAGAAAGGAGGGUGCUGAAUAUCUGGACCUGAACUGGGCUUCCUGACAGCAGAGAAUUUGAGUUCCCAAGGCCAGCAAUUCUGCCAUUCAAGAGUGAAGAGAAAUGUGCUUUCUGCUGAUAUUGUGCCUGAAGAGGAAUUAUA